rnacentral:rRNA from 1 species
UACGAAGGAUGCGAGCGUUAUCCGGAUUUAUUGGGGUUAAAGGGAGCGUAGGCGGUCUUAUAAGUCAGUGGUGAAAUCCUAUCGCUUAGCGAUAGACGUGCCAUUGAUACUGUAGGACUUGAGUACAGAUGCCGUUGGCGGAAUGUGUCAUGUAGCGGUGAAAUGCAUAGAUAUGACACAGAACACCGAUUGCGAAGGCAGCUGACGAAACUGUAACUGACGCUGAGGCUCGAAAGCGUGGGGAUCAAACAGG